AACACAUAUUCAUUUCCAGAGGAGCAGGCAGAUACUUGGUCACUAUUAAGGCAGAGGCGGCACAAGGUGACUGUCAAGAUGAAAGAAAGAACUGCAUACAUGUGUACUCCACUGACUGGGACAAGAGGCUUUGAUUAUCUUUGACAACGUGGUAGAUCAAGAUGAUCCAGUAUACCACUAGCAGCCAAUCUAUGAGAUUCCAUAUGGGAUCCCAUCAAGUACAAGGUGAUGCUGCUUGACACAUGCACUGAGAGGGACCUGGCAGAGGCUAACGGCAUGGCUCUUGGUUUUUCUGAAAUGAUGAUGACCAAGUACACCUGUAGGAGGGUCUAGAGAAAGACAACCAUGUGUAAACAAACAUGAAAUGAGAAGGUCUGCAGAAAUUUAAUUCAGAAGUUACAAGGGGAAUUGAACCAAACGAUGGAGUAUCUAGCAGAACAGACACUUUCCUUGUGAAGAAGCCCACAUUACAACAAAGAUGCCGAUUUACAGAAAAACGUCAAGUACCCUGCAAAA